UUUGCCUACGGGACGCAGCAGUGGGGAAUAUUGCACAAUGGGGGAAACCCUGAUGCAGCGACGCCGCGUGAGUGAAGAAGUAUUUCGGUAUGUAAAGCUCUAUCAGCAGGAACGAGACAAGACGGUACCUGACUAAGAAGCCCCGGCUAACUACGUGCCAGCAGCCGCGGUAAUACGUAGGGGGCAAGCGUUAUCCGGAAUCACUGGGUGUAAAGGGUGCGCAGGCGGAACCAUAAGUCUGAAGUAAAAGCCAUCGGCUCAACCGAUGUAAGCUUUGGAAACUGUGGAUCUGGAGUGCAGGAGAG
rnacentral:rRNA from 1 species